AUACGGAGGGUGCAAGCGUUGUCCGGAUUUAUUGGGUUUAAAGGGUGCGUAGGUGGCGUGUUAAGUCAGUGGUGAAAGCCUGCAGCUCAACUGUAGAGGUGCCAUUGAUACUGACAUGCUUGAGUAUUGACGAGGUAGGCGGAAUUUGUGGUGUAGCGGUGAAAUGCAUAGAUACCACAAAGAACACCGAUAGCGAAGGCAGCUUACUGGACCAUAACUGACACUGAGGCACGAAAGUGUGGGUAGCGAACAGGAUUAGAUACCCUAGUAGUCC
rnacentral:rRNA from 1 species